UGCAAGUCGAGCGGAAACGAGUUAUCUGAACCUUCGGGGAACGAUAACGGCGUCGAGCGGCGGACGGGUGAGUAAUGCCUAGGAAAUUGCCCUGAUGUGGGGGAUAACCAUUGGAAACGAUGGCUAAUACCGCAUGAUGCCUACGGGCCAAAGAGGGGGACCUUCGGGCCUCUCGCGUCAGGAUAUGCCUAGGUGGGAUUAGCUAGUUGGUGAGGUAAGGGCUCACCAAGGCGACGAUCCCUAGCUGGUCUGAGAGGAUGAUCAGCCACACUGGAACUGAGACACGGUCCAGACUCCUACGGGAGGCAGCAGUGGGGAAUAUUGCACAAUGGGCGCAAGCCUGAUGCAGCCAUGCCGCGUGUGUGAAGAAGGCCUUCGGGUUGUAAAGCACUUUCAGUCGUGAGGAAGGUAGUGUAGUUAAUAGCUGCAUUAUUUGACGUUAGCGACAGAAGAAGCACCGGCUAACUCCGUGCCAGCAGCCGCGGUAAUACGGAGGGUGCGAGCGUUAAUCGGAAUUACUGGGCGUAAAGCGCAUGCAGGUGGUUUGUUAAGUCAGAUGUGAAAGCCCGGGGCUCAACCUCGGAAUAGCAUUUGAAACUGGCAGACUAGAGUACUGUAGAGGGGGGUAGAAUUUCAGGUGUAGCGGUGAAAUGCGUAGAGAUCUGAAGGAAUACCGGUGGCGAAGGCGGCCCCCUGGACAGAUACUGACACUCAGAUGCGAAAGCGUGGGGAGCAAACAGGAUUAGAUACCCUGGUAGUCCACGCCGUAAACGAUGUCUACUUGGAGGUUGUGGCCUUGAGCCGUGGCUUUCGGAGCUAACGCGUUAAGUAGACCGCCUGGGGAGUACGGUCGCAAGAUUAAAACUCAAAUGAAUUGACGGGGGCCCGCACAAGCGGUGGAGCAUGUGGUUUAAUUCGAUGCAACGCGAAGAACCUUACCUACUCUUGACAUCCAGAGAACUUUCCAGAGAUGGAUUGGUGCCUUCGGGAACUCUGAGACAGGUGCUGCAUGGCUGUCGUCAGCUCGUGUUGUGAAAUGUUGGGUUAAGUCCCGCAACGAGCGCAACCCUUAUCCUUGUUUGCCAGCGAGUAAUGUCGGGAACUCCAGGGAGACUGCCGGUGAUAAACCGGAGGAAGGUGGGGACGACGUCAAGUCAUCAUGGCCCUUACGAGUAGGGCUACACACGUGCUACAAUGGCGCAUACAGAGGGCGGCCAACUUGCGAAAGUGAGCGAAUCCCAAAAAGUGCGUCGUAGUCCGGAUUGGAGUCUGCAACUCGACUCCAUGAAGUCGGAAUCGCUAGUAAUCGUGGAUCAGAAUGCCACGGUGAAUACGUUCCCGGGCCUUGUACACACCGCCCGUCACACCAUGGGAGUGGGCUGCAAAAGAAGUAGGUAGUUUAACCUUCGGGGGGACG
rnacentral:rRNA from 1 species